rnacentral:tRNA from 1 species
GCGUUGUUAGCUCAGCCGGACAGAGCAAUUGCCUUCUAAGCAAUCGGUCAUGGUUCGAAUCCAGUACAACGCGCCA